GCUGGCGUAGCUCAAUUGGUAGAGCAUCUCAUUUGUAAUGAGGCGGUUGGGGGUUCGAGUCCCUUCGCCAGCU
rnacentral:tRNA from 1 species